AACUGAGUAUCAGAGAAGAAAGCAGAAGGGAGUAUUGUAGAGAGAAAGAACUGCGAGAAGAGAAAGAAGCAAGUAAAGUAAAAAGGAAAAGGAUAGAAAGAGUAAAAGUAAUGUGAAUGAAAGCAGGAAAGUAUUUGAAGAAGAGAGUGUAAAGCGCGUACCUUUUGCAUAAUGUCCCAGCGAGUGUAAAUAGGAAGCAAAAAGGAAAGAAGAAGAAGUAGCCUAAGAAGACCCGAAGCUAGUUGAACUGAUGCUGUUCAAGUGAGAAAGACUGAACCAGUCUCUGUGGAAAAAGAGUUGGAAGAAAUGGCAUAAGGGGUGAAAGGUCAAUCAAAGCUAGUGAUAGCUGGUACUCCUCGAAAGCUAUAGAAGUAGCAAGAAAGAAAAGCAGGUAGAGUAAAGAAGGGUAAAGAAAAAGAGGGACUAGUAGCGAGAAGGUGUAAAGUCGAGAGGGAAAAAGCCCAGAAGCAAAAAUAAGGUAUCAAAGAAAAGAAAGAGAAAAAAGGAGAGGAAGAAGAGGCUAGGCUUAGAAGCAGCAAAGCAGAGAGGAAAGCGUUAAAGCGUGGUAAGGUAAGAAAAUCCGAAAAAGAAGAGAAGAAGAGAAGAAAGAAGACCGAAUUAAGCAAAGAAGGUAGAGGAGCAGAAAGAGAGAAUGCUGGGUGGAGUAGCGAAACGUAAGAAGGGAAGUAAAAGCUAAGAAAAAGGUAAGGUUUACGAGAGAGGAGAGUAAAAAGGAAAGAGUGUAAAACGGCGUCAUAAGUAGAAAUCCGAAAGGAGAGAGAUGAAAAGAGAGAGAAAAAAGAAAAGAAGAGAGAAAGCCGUACUGAAAACCGACACAGGUAAUUGAGGAGAAGGAGAACCUAAAAGAGAGUGAGUAAAAGGAGGAUAAGGAACUAGGCAAAAGGAGUUGAAGACUGAGGUGAAAGAAAGUAAAAGAGCUACAUCGACUGUUUAACAAAAACACAGCACUCUGCAGAAAAGAGAGAAUCGUAAGUAUAGAGUGUGCGGCCUGCCAAAUAGUAGAGAAGAAAGACAGGUAAGUGAAAGCGAGAACUGUAAGAGGUAUAGAGAAUGGCGGUCCUAACUGUAAGGAUCCAAAGGUAGCGAAGUAAAUAGGCGUUUGAAAGGCGUCAGGUAUGAAAGGAGAAACGAGUGUAGCACUGUCUAGUCCUCCAGCUCAGCGAAACAGCAAUAACUGUGAAAAUGCAGGUAGCUUGCAGUAGGACGGAAAGACCCCAUAAUUCUUGACUGGAUAAGGUUAGGGAGGAGGAGAAAGCAUAAAGUAGUAGAGGUGGGGUAGUAGAUGAAAGACCACUGUAUGAAGUAAAGGAAUCUAACUGAGAAAAGGAAAAUAAUCUUAAGCUAGUUUGGCUGGGGAAGUAAAGCCUAAGAAAGAGUAAAUUAGGCAAGCAAAGGCGUAGGAAAAGUAUAAUAGCAAGAAAUACGCUUGAAGUAAGAGAGAGAGAUCUUGAAGAGGGAAGAAAAAUCAGCUAUAGAGAACAGGUAGAAGAAGCAAGAAAUACCGAACGAUCGAAGAAGAAACUUUGGGGAUAACAGGUUAAUGUGCUGUUAGAGAACGUAUCAAGCAGCAAGAUUGACACCUCGAUGUCGGUUCAUCACAUCCUAGGGCAGAAGAAGGUUCUAAGGGUUUGGCUGUUCGCCAAUGAAAGUGGUACGUGAACUGGGUUCAGAACGUCGUGAGACAGUUCGGUCCCUAUCCGCUGCAAGAGAGUAGAGGCAAAACUAAACGAUUACUUGUACGAGAGGAACGUAAUGGGUUGACCAAGUGUAGAGAAGCAAAGUCAAUAGAGCAAGAAGUAAAAGAACACGAAAGCAGUAGUGAAUAAAGCUAGAGAUUAAAAGCAGAAAGAAGAACAGAAGGAUCGGCAU
rnacentral:rRNA from 1 species